GGUUUCAUAGUGUAGUGGUUAGCACUCCAGACUUUGAAUCUGGCGACCUGGGUUCGAAUCCCGGUGAGACCU
rfam:Sorghum bicolor cultivar BTx623 chromosome 6, whole genome shotgun sequence.